UGAGGGUAGGGUUCCUAGCGAGCCCAACCUCCCACCCGUGUUUACUGUACCUUAGUUGCUUCGGCGGGCCCGCCAUUCAUGGCCGCCGGGGGCUCUCAGCCCCGGGCCCGCGCCCGCCGGAGACACCACGAACUCUGUCUGAUCUAGUGAAGUCUGAGUUGAUUGUAUCGCAAUCAGUUAAAACUUUCAACAAUGGAUCUCUUGGUUCCGGCAUCGAUGAAGAACGCAGCGAAAUGCGAUAACUAGUGUGAAUUGCAGAAUUCCGUGAAUCAUCGAGUCUUUGAACGCACAUUGCGCCCCCUGGUAUUCCGGGGGGCAUGCCUGUCCGAGCGUCAUUGCUGCCCAUCAAGCACGGCUUGUGUGUUGGGUCGUCGUCCCCUCUCCGGGGGGGACGGGCCCCAAAGGCAGCGGCGGCACCGCGUCCGAUCCUCGAGCGUAUGGGGCUUUGUCACCCGCUCUGUAGGCCCGGCCGGCGCUUGCCGAACGCAAAUCAAUCUUUUUCCAGGUUGACCUCGGAUCAGGUAGGGAUACCCGCUGAACUUAAGCAUAUCAAUAAGCGGAGGAAGAUUUUUCCGAGUUUGGGGUCCUAGAGAGCCAACCUCCCACCC
rnacentral:rRNA from 1 species